ACGAACCGUACGAACGUUAUUCGGAAUCACUGGGCUUAAAGAGUUCGUAGGCGGCUUGGUAAGUCAGAUGUGAAAUCCCACAGCUCAACUGUGGAACUGCGUUUGAUACUGUCAAGCUUGAGGAAGACAGGGGUGAGCGGAACUGAUGGUGGAGCGGUGAAAUGCGUUGAUAUCAUCAGGAACACCGGUGGCGAAGGCGGCUCACUGGGUCUUUUCUGACGCUGAGGAACGAAAGCUAGGGGAGCGAACGGG
rnacentral:rRNA from 1 species